rnacentral:lncRNA from 1 species
GCCAACUUCAGAAACGAGUCAUUCUCAGAAGCCUCCGUAUAGGACAUCUUCCAAUCUUGCAGAAGAUCCAUUUGUGGUCUUGGAGACUGCUUCUACCCCUAGAGAACCUCCUCCCUCAGGAGGGUACACUGAUCCUUUGGAUGAUAUUGGUCUUUUCAACAGCAGAAAGACUGAUCAUUCUUUUGCUGAUAUUGACCCUCUCGAUAGUCUUGGAAAAUCAGGGCCAGAUAUGAGUAGUAGAGACAAAAGUCACCUGAGACCAGGCAACGGCAGUGGCUCUCAGUCACCGGUGGAGAGUUCCCACACUGGGAGUUACCAUGGUAAGAAAGUUUCUUUCGAUGAAGUCUUGGAGCCGCAGAGUACUUCUGUUCCUCAUGCUACUGCUCCACUGUAUGAAAACAAAUCACUCAAUUCAGAUGGAAGUUUUGACUUAUCUGAUGAUGUCUGGCUUACUGUGUCUGAGAUCCCUCUAUUUACGCAGCCUACGAGUGCUCCCCCACCUUCCAGACCUCCACCGCCCAGACCUACACGUCCCAUGAAAAGAAGGGAAGGAGAGAGAGUUAUUUUCGAUUUCUAAUAUUGGAGAGAGACCCACCCAUCAUACUCAGAUCUGACGACGAUAAUCUGUUGGAUCUGCGAUUUGGGGGUGUGAAAAAUCCAAUUCCAAGUAAUCGAUGGACGAUUUCUCAGGCCUUUUAGGUUUGAAGCCGCAGGGAAAAUCAGCUCCGAUGGCGCCGUCUUCGUCGUCCCCAGCAAGGAACAAGUCCGAUUCAUCGCCUCUCUUCGACGAUCUGAGCGGUGGCGACGAUCUCCUCUUCAGCGAUUCGCGAUCUCAGACUAAGCCCUCUGAUUUUGACUACGAUGCGAUGUUCAAGGAUCCCAAACCUGUGUACGACAAGCCUGUGUACGACGAGGAGGACGUCUUCGAAUCGCUUAAAACCCCGCCGGGCUCUCAAUCGGCUAGGUUUGAUGACCUUUUCUCCUCGCAUUCGGUGCACAGGAAGAACAACUCCUCUCCUUUCGAUGACCUGAUUGGGAAUCUGAGCAAGCCGGAGAGAAAACGAGAUGAGAAAGGUAGCUCGGCUUUUGAUGACUUGAUUCCUGGGUUUGGUCGCGCUAGCUCCCCUCCAGCUAAACGGUAGCGUUUCGUUCCUCUUCUUUUAUGUGCUUGUCUAGAGCUAUUUGCUACUGAGAUUCUCCAGUGAAUUGUAGCUUUAACCUACUUGGAGCGAACUUGCAGAUAUCGUAGAAAAUUUUACUAAAGGUUGAACCUUUUGAAUUUUUGAUAGUAAAAGUAGUCAUUCAUAUUGUUUUUCUUUUUUUUGCUCAGGCCAACUUCAGAAACGAGUCAUUCUCAGAAGCCUCCGUAUAGGACAUCUUCCAAUCUUGCAGAAGAUCCAUUUGUGGUCUUGGAGACUGCUUCUACCCCUAGAGAACCUCCUCCCUCAGGAGGGUACACUGAUCCUUUGGAUGAUAUUGGUCUUUUCAACAGCAGAAAGACUGAUCAUUCUUUUGCUGAUAUUGACCCUCUCGAUAGUCUUGGAAAAUCAGGGCCAGAUAUGAGUAGUAGAGACAAAAGUC